UACGUAGGGUGCAAGCGUUAAUCGGAAUUACUGGGCGUAAAGCGUGCGCAGGCGGUUAUGCAAGACAGAUGUGAAAUCCCCGGGCUCAACCUGGGAACUGCAUUUGUGACUGCAUGGCUAGAGUGCGGCAGAGGGGAUGGAAUUCCGCGUGUAGCAGUGAAAUGCGUAGAUAUGCGGAGGAACACCGAUGGCGAAGGCAAUCCCCUGGGCCUGCACUGACGCUCAUGCACGAAAGCGUGGGGAGCAAACAGG
rnacentral:rRNA from 1 species